UACGAAGGGGGCUAGCGUUGUUCGGAUUUACUGGGCGUAAAGCGCACGUAGGCGGAUCGUUAAGUCGGGGGUGAAAUCCCGGGGCUCAACCUCGGAACUGCCUUUGAUACUGUCAGUCUAGAGUCCGGAAGAGGUGGGUGGAAUUCCUAGUGUAGAGGUGAAAUUCGCAGAUAUUAGGAAGAACACCGGUGGCGAAGGCGGCCCACUGGUCCGGUACUGACGCUGAGGUGCGAAAGCGUGGGGAGCAAACAGG
rnacentral:rRNA from 1 species